AAAAAGCAAAUUCAAUUUUUAAAAAAAGUUGUUAUUUUCUGACCAUUUCUGACCAUGCUGACCAUUUCACAAGUGCCCUAAAAUUAUUUGUACGAGAAGCAGAAUAACUGAUGCCUUAGUAGAAUUGUAAUGAGUGUAUGGGAACUGUUGAGUCACGGCCUGAACCCCUGAUUGAUCACCUGAGGCGAGCACCGAGUCAGCCACGGGAGCACAGGUGAAGGCAAUUCAGCUGUGUGCCUGGAAGGGAUGGAGCCUCUCCUAGAGGCCUAGAGGCUCUCCUGGGGGGCUGCACCUCUCCUAGACCCCAUUUAAGGGCUGGCUGCCACUGGGGAAGGAUCUCUUCUGGAGUUUCCUCCUUUUGGAGUACUUUACUGUGAGCCAAGGACAUAAAGUGUAUGACAUGGUAUCUCAGAAUCACAGACUUGCUGAAUGUGUAUCUCCUGUGGAAAUCUUCUGUGAGAGCAUGUCUUAGUACUGAGUGAAACAUUCUUCCAUUAGAGAAGAUAACUAGUCCAAAUAAUUUGUACGACUUGUUAAAUACCACUCUCCUCAAGAAUUGCCAAUAUUUUCCAGAAGAUUAGGAUUCCACUUCUUUACUGAAUUGCAGAACUUUAUGGGUUGGAAGUCACCUCAAGAGAUUGAAUCCAGCUCCUUAUUGUCAAGAAUUUUAGUUCUCCAAAUUGUUUUAUGCUGAGUUUUCUGAUAUUGUAGUAAUUGACAUUUUUUCUGAAUGGCUGGCUGAUGUUUUAAAUCUGCAGAGCUUUUGGUGUGGUAAAGACCUACAUCCCAAACGUUACGUGAAAGAUUGUUUUUUUUCAAAGAACUAAAAUAAGUUUGAAAUCCUUGCCGUGUGGGCAUUGAUACUUUUUUUUUUUUUUUUUUUUUUUAAGCUAAGACUGAUUAUAUUUUAGUAAAAUUUGAGUGCAUCUGGACAAUCCAUCAGAAGAAUACGUAUUUUCUUAAUGACCAUUAUCUGAGGUCAUAACUAUGUGUAUAUGUAUCUAUAUAUCUUUAAACAGAAUCCUGUGUACAGUUUCAAUAAAAUGCUUUGAAUUAUUAAAGGUUCUUCAUGGGGAAAAUGAGAUGCUCUUUAUAAAGGAGUUUUGGGUUUUGUUUUAUACUGAGGACGGUGGUGAGCUGAGAAUAAAAUAAAUCAGAGUAAUUAUCUAAUAAUGUAAUUGAAAAAUAUUGUAGAUAACCUGUGAGCAUCUUAAAGAGUUGCCCUUGCCUCCACACUUUAAUAAAGCUGGUUGCUGCCUAAACCAAAGGAGUUAUCCAGAAUGAGAGUGAGCCAGGACACUGAAAUAUUUAUACCUGGUUAUGAUGACAGUAUAUCAGAAGCCACAGCUGUGGUCAUUUGGUGAAUGGCUCUGCCUCAUAUGU